AAAAAUAUGCAGUUACCAUGCUUAGGUGUUGUGUUGAUAUUGUAAUAGGCCCAAUUUGCCCGGUCCUAGAAGAAGAAACAAAAAAUUACAAAUAUAAAAAAACCAAAUAAAUAAAUAAAUUAAACAAAAGUCCACUAUUAAUCAACACAGCCCAGUAACUAAACCCAAUUAGCCUAAGCCCAAUACCCAUAGCCCAAUCAUAACGCAGCCCAAAACGAAAAUCAGAAACAGAAAACCCUAGAAGAUUCAUGCGCUGUAGGCAAGCCUUCCGCGUGUGACCAGCCUCCGUACACUCC
rnacentral:lncRNA from 1 species